rnacentral:misc_RNA from 1 species
AAGUCGUAACAAGGUUUCCGUAGGUGAACCUGCGGAAGGAUCAUUAUCACGUAUCCACGUAUAAACCAUUGUGAACCGUUCUAUUACCUUUGUUUGUGUAAAUGAAUGAAAUUGGUGUGUUUCUCUCCGGAGUCGCAUCGAUGGAGUUUAUUUUCCGCAAAGUGUAUUAACUUUAUAUUAACCAUUAUAACCCAAUCUUUAUAACUUUUAUGAACUAACUUUAUUUUAUACUCUUCGGAGAUAAAAUUCAUUACGAAACAAAGAACAACUCUUAGCAACGGAUAUCUUGGUUCUC